rnacentral:rRNA from 1 species
AUCUGGGCGGCGGAAUUCAGGAUGGCGGGCGCGUCUUCGCGGCGCGUUCGUCGUUUGAUAUUUCCGUCGCCGACUCACCCGCAGACGUCGCGACCUGUUCGCGGUCGGUCCCUGCUCGGAGGAGCCACGUUCGAGUUCGUUGUGUGCGCGUUUCUGCGCGUUUCACGGCGAAGGCGUGGAUCUCUGGCUGGCCGUCGGACAGUACGUUCAACGGUGUCCGGUGCGGUCGUCUCGUACGCGCUUGCAUCGGUACCGGUCGGCGACGAAUUCUUCGGGCCUCUUUCCGACCCGUCUUGAAACACGGACCAAGGAGUCUAACAUGCGCGCGAGUCGCGGGGUGUCGAGCGUACCACGGUGCGUUCGUUACGUUGCGAAACCCGUACAUGUCGAAGGCGUAAUGAAAGUAAAUGGGGAAGAUGGUGUUCCGAGUACACGUUCCGCGGUCAUCGGUACCGCGGCCGGACACCCGCAUUCCCGGGGCGUCUCAACGGCCCGUCGUAGAUGCGGAUCGCCGUCUCUCGGGGCGGUGGGUCGGUCCGCGACGAACCGA